rnacentral:rRNA from 1 species
GAUGAACGCUGGCGGCGUGCUUAACACAUGCAAGUCGAGCGGGCAAUUUAUCUAGCACUGAUUACUUCAAAUGGAAAUCAUAAGUGUAAUCAUGAAUUUCUACCUUUAAUAAAGAAAAAAGAAAUUCAUGUACGCAAAUAGUGAUAACACAUUUUAGUGGAGUGAUGAGUGCUGGAUAAAUUGCUAGCGGCGGACGGGUGCGUAACACGUGGGUAACCUGCCCCUAUCACUGGGAUAACACACUGAAAAGUGUGCUAAUACCAGAUAAUAUAAGCUUUUGGCAUCAUUAGCUUAUCAAAGAAUUUCGGAUAGGGAUGGGCCCGCGUCUGAUUAGCUAGUUGGUGAGGUAACGGCUCACCAAGGCAACGAUCAGUAGCCGACCUGAGAGGGUGAUCGGCCACACUGGAACUGAGACACGGUCCAGACUCCUACGGGAGGCAGCAGUGGGGAAUAUUGCAC